CUAGGAAUUGUGGUUGGCCAGCAUGUUAUCUUGACCAGACACUUCUGAAAAUCUGCUUUGUGUGUCUUAAGUUGGCAAUGUCACUGUUCCAGACCAGCAUGAAUCCUGGUCUCCAGUCCACACCUCUGCCGGACAGAGGUCCAUGCCAGUGAUACCAUGACUGGGAAGCCACCACUGAGCCCAUGUCCUCAGUCUUCCUCAGGCCUUCAGUGUGUGUCACUGAGUGGACCUCUGUGACAUCUCGUCUUCCUCAGGCCUUCAGUGUGUGUUUGUCACUGAGUGGACCUCUGUGACAUCUCGUCUUCCUCAGGCCUUCAGUGUGUGUUUGUCACUGAGUGGACCUCUGUGACAUCUAGUCUUCCUCAGGCCUUCAGUGUGUGUUUGUCACUGAGUGGACCUCUGUGACAUCUCGUCUUCCUCAGGCCUUCAGUGUGUGUUUGUCACUGAGUGGACCUCUGUGACAUCUCGUCUUCCUCAGGCCUUCAGUGUGUGUUUGUCACUGAGUGGACCUCUGUGACAUCUAGUCUUCCUCAGGCCUUCAGUGUGUGUUUGUCACUGAGUGGACCUCUGUGACAUCUAGUCUUCCUCAGGCCUUCAGUGUGUGUUUGUCACUGAGUGGACC
rnacentral:lncRNA from 1 species